AUUGAACGCUGGCGGCAGGCCUAACACAUGCAAGUCGAGCGAGCGGCGGACGGGUGAGUAAUGUCUGGGAAACUGCCUGAUGGAGGGGGAUAACGACGGGAAACUGUCGCUAAUACCGCGUACCAUAGGAUGAGCCCAAGUGGGAUUAGCUGGUUGGUGGGGUAAAGGCCCACCAAGGCGACGAUCAGUAGCGGGUCUGAGAGGAUGAUCCGCCACACUGGGACUGAGACACGGCCCAGACUCCUACGGGAGGCAGCAGUGGGGAAUUUUGGACAAUGGGCGCAAGCCUGAUCCAGCCAUGCCGCGUGUGUGAAGAAGGCCUUCGGGUUGUAAAGGACUUUUGUCAGGGAAGCGGUACCUGAAGAAUAAGCACCGGCUAACUACGUGCCAGCAGCCGCGGUAAUAC
rnacentral:rRNA from 1 species